GCUUUCAGUGUUUUCUUAGAGAGUCUGGGGAAUUAGUUGUUGACUUCCAUGGUCAAAUUGGUCAGAAAGGGAAUUACUCAGAGGUGAGAUUGACUCUCAUUAAACAAUUGACCCUUAUUUGUGCCAAUUUUCGCAAGGCACCGCUGCAGAGGUUGGGGCAGGAAUCAGCCAGGUUCAUCCAUCAGGUUUAUGGACGGUGGCAGGGGCUCCUUAUGCUCAAUGUAGUGGAAAGCAAGGCUUUAUUACCUCUGCCUUCUCACGGAGAGAGAUGAAGACAGAAACAACUGUGACAGAGUAUAGAAUUUCCAAGGCUGAUGGUCAUGGCUGAUGCGUCAAUAUAACUCCGUAUGUUCCUGAAAUCUGUUGUUGCGCCAAAGGACUGCAGCCAUAGCGCAGACAAGGAUGGUGUCCUUCACAAAACAAUCCCUGUCUGCUCGAUUUUAUCAGCUCCACAAAAUGGCGUCGGCAAAUUAUUCAUGACAGGGAUUGCCAGCCAGGCCGACUGAUAACAAACCUGUCAGGAGGGUUCACAAGGGAUAUGAAUCCAGCGCUGGCGGAGAAAUGAUGUGUUCAGUGGAGGAAUAUGGAGACUGACAUGAGCUGCACACCGGCUUAGUGACAGAUGAUUUGUUACACCGUGCGCUAAAUGGAAGUCGCCACAACGGCUGAUUAGGUCUUAUCAGGGCCGUUUCGAGCGAGCAACUUUUUCAUUUCACCUCUCUCCAAGGAGCCACCAUCAAAAGAGAUCACAGAGGUUUCCUGGGCGAGCCUGUCAGCUCAAGGUGAAGCCGAAUGGGGGAGGAUAACAGGGAUGAGGAAAUAAACUGCUGUCUCAGAUAACAUUAAUGCUCAAGCUUCACGGCUGACAGUUACCUGAUAAAACAUUAUCUCAGCCAAUGAGAGACAGAACAGGACAAACACGUCCCCCCACACGCAGUUUUUCUAAUACAUUUGGCCAGAUUACAGCAAACCGCUAUUCAUCUGUGGGUCAUGCUGCAGCUCUGUAGAUUCUUUUUCU